UCUGUAUCUUAGAGGCAUUGCAGAUGUAGCUGCUAUGCCACAUGUGUGUCAGUAGGUGGCAGAGAAGAGAGAGGCUAUGUCUAUGCUCUUUGUUCUGACCUAUGAACAUCUAAAUGAUACUAGUAUAGCAUU